rfam:Amborella trichopoda AMTR_V1.0_contig_24156, whole genome shotgun sequence.
AGGUUGGCAAGGGAGCUCUCUUCAGUCCACUCAUGGUUGGCAUGAGGGUUGGGUUGGCUGCCGUCUCAUUCAUUCAAAUGCUCAGUGAAUUUGUCAAGAAAGCUAACUCAGUAAUUGUGUGAAUGAUGCGGGAGACAGAUCGAUUCUUUGCCAUCUAUUCUUGGACUGAAGGGAGCUCCCUUCUCUGAUUAU